UACGGGGGGGGGCACGCGUUGUUCGGAAUUACUGGGCGUAAAGGGCUCGUAGGUGGCCAACUAAGUCAGACGUGAAAUCCCUCGGCUUAACCGGGGAACUGCGUCUGAUACUGGAUGGCUUGAGUUUGGGAGAGGGAUGCGGAAUUCCAGGUGUAGCGGUGAAAUGCGUAGAUAUCUGGAGGAACACCGGUGGCGAAGGCGGCAUCCUGGACCAACACUGACACUGAGGAGCGAAAGCCAGGGGAGCAAACGGG
rnacentral:rRNA from 1 species